GACGAACGCUGGCGGCGUGCUUAACACAUGCAAGUCGAACGGAAAGGCCCUGCUUUUGUGGGGUGCUCGAGUGGCGAACGGGUGAGUAACACGUGAGUAACCUGCCCUUGACUUUGGGAUAACUUCAGGAAACUGGGGCGUAAUACCGGAUAGGAGCUCCUGCUGCAUGGUGGGGGUUGGAAAGUUUCGGCGGUUGGGGAUGGACUCGCGGCUUAUCAGCUUGUUGGUGGGGUAGUGGCUUACCAAGGCUUUGACGGGUAGCCGGCCUGAGAGGGUGACCGGCCACAUUGGGACUGAGAUACGGCCCAGACUCCUACGGGAGGCAGCAGUGGGGAAGU
rnacentral:rRNA from 1 species